GCCAGGUGCAGUGGUGCAUGCCUGUAGUCCCAGCUACUCGGGAGGCUGAGGCUGGAGGAUCGUUUGAGUCCAGGAGUUCUGGGCUGUAGUGCGCUAUGCUGAUCAGGUGUCCACACCAAGUUCGGCAUCAGUAUGGUGACUUCCGGCAGCGGGGACGACCAGGUUGCCUAGGGAGGGGUGAACCGGCCCAGGUUGGAAACGGAGCAGGUCAAAACUCCCAUGCUGAUCAGUAGUGGGACCACACCUGUGAAUAGCCACUGCACUCCAGCCUGGGCAACAUAGUGAGAUCCCAUCUCU
rnacentral:SRP_RNA from 1 species